CCAUGCCUCGGGGAAGCCGCAGCGCGGCCUCCCGGCCAGCCAGGCCCCCACCCCCGCUGCCCCCCAGCCCCUGCAGAUGGGGCCCUGCGCCUACGAGAUCAGGCAGUUCCUGGACUGUUCCACCACUCAGAGUGACCUGUCCCUGUGUGAGGGCUUCAGCGAGGCCCUGAAGCAGUGCAAGUACUACCAUGGUCUGAGCUCCCUGCCCUGAAGAGGUCGGUGCAGACUCGGGGGCCAGUCCUGCACCCACCUCUACCCCUCGCCGACAGCCAGACCACAACACCAGAUUGUACCCAGAUAGCUGGGAUUGGAAGUGAGGAGGUUUCUCACCCCACAGAUAACCCAAGACACAAAUGUGCAAUUAAAAGUUUAUUUUAGACCACA
rnacentral:lncRNA from 1 species